rnacentral:lncRNA from 1 species
CUCAGAUAUAUAUAUGUUUAUUUAACAUGGCUUUAUUAAGUGAUAUUUUCACUAAGAAAUACUUGAUAUUUUCGGGAUAAUGAACAUACUCACAUAUAUUUUAAAGGCAAGUUGUAUGUGCACAUUACUCAGCUUUGACAUAGAAUAUUGCUAGCACUGUUGAGGUACUUGUACACCUUGAACUUAACUUUUAAGACACAGUUUCACACAAGUCUAGUGUCUUUGUACUUGUACACUUUGUACUUGCUCUGAAAAUUAUUUUAAAGUGUAAAUUUGGCUGUUGUUAUCUUGAAUUAAUUGAAGAGAAAAACUUCAAGAUGAGAUUAUCUCUCACAGUAAACAUGCUAAAAUUAAUAGUAUUUCUUCUUUAACCUCAUG